rnacentral:rRNA from 1 species
GAUGAACGCUGGCGGCGUGCCUAAUACAUGCAAGUCGAACGAGUGGCGGACGGGGGUGUAAAAUAUCGGAUCGUGCCGAGUAGAGGGGGAGAACUACGCGAUAGAGUGGCUAAUACUGCUUACUAUUGGAGCGGCCGAUGUGGGAUUAGCUAGUUGGUGGGGUAACGGCUCACCAAGGCAACGAGCCGUAGCUGGUUUGAGAGGACGACCAGCCACACUGGGACUGAGACACGGCCCAGACUCCUACGGGAGGCAGCAGUGGGGAAUUUUGCGCAAUGGGGGAAACCCUGACCCAGCCAUGCCGCGUGUAUGAGAAGGCCUUCGGGUUGUAAAGUUCUUUUGGCAGAGAAGCGGUAUCUACAGAAUAAGCACCGGCUAACUACGUGCCAGCAGCCGCGGUAAUAC